rnacentral:rRNA from 1 species
AACUUUGCAAUAAGCGAAAGCUUGACAGGGCUAUCCCGAGUGCCAUCCGCUGAGGAAGGCUUUUACCCAGUCUAGAACGCUGGGGGAAUAAGGAGAGGGCAAGUCUGGUGUCAGCCGCCGCGGUAAUACCAGCUCUCCGAGUGGUGUGGAUGUUUAUUGGGCCUAAAGCAUCCGUAGCUGGCUAAGUUAGUCCCUUGUUAAAUCCACCGAAUUAAUCGUUGGAUUGCGGGGGAUACUGCUUGGCUAGGGGACGAGAGAGGCAGACGGUAUUUUCGGGGUAGGGGUGAAAUCCUAUAAUCCCGGGAAGACCACCAGUGGCGAAGGCUGUCUGCUAGAACGCGCCCGACGGUGAGGGAUGAAAGCUGGGGGAGCGAACCGGAUUAGAUACCCGGGUAGUCCCAGCUGUAAACGAUGCAGGCUAGGUGUUUGGACGGCCACGUGCCGUUCUAGUGCCGCAGGGAAGCUGUUAAGCCUGCCGCCUGGGGAGUACGAUCGCAAGAUUGAAACUUAA